GAUGAACGCUAGCGGCGUGCCUAAUGCAUGCAAGUCGAACGGAUCCUUUGGAUUAUUCUGAAGGUGAGAGUGGCGAACGGGUGAGUAACACGUUGGUGACCUGCCCCAGAGAGGGGGAUAACCAUUGGAAACGAUGGCUAAUACCCCGGAUGUCAUUACUGUUAGAGGGUACUGACUAAAGCUCCGGCGCUCUGGGAGGGGCCUGCGGCCCAUCAGCUAGUUGGUAGGGUAAUGGCCUACCAAGGCGAAGACGGGUAGGGGGCGUGAGAGCGUGACCCCCCACACUGGUACUGACACACGGACCAGAUACCUACGGGUAGCAGCAGCAAGGAAUAUUGCCCAAUGGACGCAAGUCUGAGGCAGCAACGCCGCGUGGAGGAAGAAGGCCCUCGGGUUGUAAACUCCUUUUCUGGGGAAGAGAAAGGACGGUACCCCAGGAAUAAGUCUCGGCUAACUACGUG
rnacentral:rRNA from 1 species